rnacentral:rRNA from 1 species
UACGUAGGGCGCAAGUGUUAUCCGGAAUUAUUGGGCGUAAAGAGCUCGUAGGCGGUUUGUCGCGUCUGCCGUGAAAGUCCGGGGCUCAACUCCGGAUCUGCGGUGGGUACGGGCAGACUAGAGUGAUGUAGGGGAGACUGGAAUUCCUGGUGUAGCGGUGAAAUGCGCAGAUAUCAGGAGGAACACCGAUGACGAAGGCAGGUCUCUGGGCAUUAACUGACGCUGAGGAGCGAAAGCAUGGGGAGCGAACAGG